rnacentral:lncRNA from 1 species
AUAACCGAUGUAAGUACAUUCGGUUGCUGAUCCAAUGAAGUACGAGUUUCCCCAGAAGAAACCGUUGGUGAAUCUUCCAGAAGCAUCGUCCGCUGUAAAAGAUUUAAUAUUAAGUAUCAGGCUUACGUAUAUUACGAGAUACCGAGAAAAUAGAGUACGAAGAAAUUACCACAACUCAAGGCACAUAAUCAACUAAAUGAAUCAGGCAUGCAGAUACCAGCAAAAAAUAACCAUCAGUUGGUGGUGACUUGCAAGUAAAAGAAUUCAGCGGUAACUUAUUGUUAGUUUAUUAUUAUUAUUUAAAAAGUGAGAUAACUAAUUGCUGGGUAGAGUUACAUUUAUAAAAGGAGUUCGAAGUUAAAUAAAGAUACUUAAUACAUAAUUAGAUAUUUUCUUACAUCAGAUAAAACGUAAUAGUAAUAACUAGGUAAAUAUUAUAUUUGAAAUAUAGCGCGAAUAAAUUAAGUUAAUAUAAAAAACAUAUUUCCGUGAAAGUUCUUAACAUUUUUUUUUUUACAAUUGAUGAUUCUUCGGCGCGUAACGACCGACUCACGUAAUAAUGCCACAAUAUAGCCUAUUUGUUUAGUAUAUAUCUCUAGAUAUCGAAAAUUAUUAUGCAAUUUUAAUAAUUGCGGCAAUUUUAAAGGAGCCGUACCCGUGGUUGUAGCUGGAGUUGUAGUUGUAGGGGUAUCGGAUCGGUUUAAACUUUCUAUACAUAACAACAUUAUACAUGUAAUGUACUGAAAGUAUCAAAGAAAGAAUCUCUGGGUUUUUUUCAUUAAUCGCGUGAUACUUAGCUACGGAAAAAAUCGAGAAGUGAAAUUCUCUGUACGUCACAGCAUCUCUUUAAUAAAAUUCAAUCUCUCAAACAAGAUUAUUGCUUAAUACACUCUCUUCUUAGAUUUCUUUAUAUAUCUUUCUCGUAUCCCAUUAACCUGUUCUUGGGAUACUCGUUACCUUAAACUCUAAAUUACAGUUUCGAUUUCUUUGCUCCAUUGGCCUCAAAAAAACUAAUAGACUCCUCGGUAGCAUAAACUUUUUUUACUCCUAAGAUUAACUCACUUUUAUACUUCUUCCCUUCUUUGUUACAUAUUCGCUUACACGUAACUUUCGAUGGCCAGUUUCAAGGUCUUUUUAUUUACUUCUUCCCGUAAAAAUAUAAUAUCCGAAGAUUUAAACUUACAAUUAUAAUAAACAAUAAUAAGCUUUUAUUUCUUCUUUUUUGUAAAAAAAAAAUUGUCUUGAGAUAAAAAAAAUAUCCACUAAAUUGCUAUCUUUUACCAUCAUUAUUAUCAUAAUCAUAAAAAAUUAUCAUAUAAAAAAUUACAGUUAUAAUUUAUGUAUAUAUCUGCACACGAUGUUAAAAGAAUGAGCUUGCCCGCUAAAAGUGAAACCUUAAAAUGAAAGUAGGUAAACGAAGACGGGCCCACUGGACAACUGGGUGUCCCCUUUUUUCUUUCUAUUAUAAUUGAAUUAAUAUUACUUUAUGUUUGCAUAUUUGUGUCUAUAAAUAGUUUCUCUUUCUCCUAUUAGCUAUUAGCCAGCUGAUAAAAUAAUUUUAGACUUUUUUUUUUGCAAAUAUUUCGUAACUCAUUCGUACGAUGACAUUUGGUAAACGCAGAAUCAUUUAACUAUGGACCAUGACGGGAGUAAGUUCUUGAUCGGGUAGAGCAACCUAUACGUAUUAUAGCAUCACUUCCUACCGCAAUUCUAUCAUCAGUGAAAGCGUGCUUAUAAUCUUUUCAGGCUCAACUGGUUGUCGCCGCUUAAUUACCAAUAAUCCCGCGCAAAUAUCUGCUUCUUAGCUUCAAGUUAAAUAAUCAGCGGCAAUAUAGUUAUCAAUUUUAAAAGUCUUAUCUAAUAGCUUUCAAAAAUAUUUAUUGUAAUGAUAAUGAUAAUUAAAAUUUUAUACCUUUAAGAGCCCAAAGCUCUUGGUUCCUCAGCCCUUUGACAAAUCGCGUAAUAUCCUUAGCACAUUGUGGAUUCACAGGGUAUUCAUUUUCUU